UGGCUUUUGCUAGCUACUACUAUGCUUGUUUCCAGUCCAGCUUCUAUACAGCAGGUAACAUUCAGCAUUGCAGGUUGCUAGUCCUUUGUAGCCCCUAUCCAUCCCAAAUAUCGCGAACCAAUAUCGUGGUUCGUACAAAGUUGGUGACGCGUUGAGUGAUCGAUAAAAAGCCAAACAACAGGAAGAAGACGAAAAAGCGCUGCUGGCGCUUGGCCCUCGGCAUAAUUGUCCACCACGUUGUCUCUUCUACAGUUGUACGGCAGAUUAUUGCAUGUGACUUAAUAACUAAAAAUAAUUAAUAAAUGCAGUUCAUGAAUCACACGUUGAACAGCAGCAGCCGCCAGCGAGCAAAUCAUCAAUCUUUGGG
rnacentral:sRNA from 1 species